GACGAACGCUGGCGGCGUGCUUAACACAUGCAAGUCGAACGGAAAGGCCCUGCUUUUGUGGGGUGCUCGAGUGGCGAACGGGUGAGUAACACGUGAGUAACCUGCCCUUGACUUUGGGAUAACUUCAGGAUACUGGGGCUAAUACCGGAUAGGAGCUCCUGCUGCAUGGUGGGGGUUGGAAAGUUUCGGCGGUUGGGGAUGGACUCGCGGCUUAUCAGCUUGUUGGUGGGGUAGUGGCUUACCAAGGCUUUGACGGGUAGCCGGCCUGAGAGGGUGACCGGCCACAUUGGGACUGAGAUACGGCCCAGACUCCUACGGGAGGCAGCAGUGGGGAAUAUUGCACAAUGGGCGGAAGCCUGAUGCAGCAACGCCGCGUGCGGGAUGACGGCCUUCGGGUUGUAAACCGCUUUCGCCUGUGACGAAGCGUGAGUGACGGUAAUGGGUAAAGAAGCACCGGCUAACUACGUG
rnacentral:rRNA from 1 species